rnacentral:miRNA from 1 species
CUGGUUUUCACAAUGAUUUGACAG